CCUACGGGAGGCAGCAGUGGGGAAUAUUGGUCAAUGGGGGAAACCCUGAUCCAGCGACGCCGCGUGAGUGAAGAAGUAUUUCGGUACGUAAAGCCCUAUUAGCAGGGAAGAAAAUGACGGUACCUGACUAAGAAGCCCCGGCUAACUACGUGCCAGCAGCCGCGGUAAUACGUAGGGGGCAAGCGUUACUCGGAUUUACUGGGCGUAAAGGGAGCGUAGGCGGGAGCGCAAGUCAGGAGUGAAAUGCUGGGGGUCAAACCCCGAACUGCACUGGAAACUGUGAUGCUGGAGUGGAGGAGAGGUAGGCGGAAUUCGUGGUGUAGCGGGGAAAUGCGUAGAUAUCAGGAGGAACACCGACGGCGAAGGCGGCAUGCUGGACUGUAACUGACGUUGAGGCACGAAGGCGUGGGGAGCAAACAGGAUUAGAUACCCUUGUAGUC
rnacentral:rRNA from 1 species